UACAGAGGUCCCAAGCGUUGUUCGGAUUCACUGGGCGUAAAGGGUGCGUAGGUGGCGAGGUAAGUCGGAUGUGAAAUCUCCAAGCUUAACUUGGAAAUGGCAUUGGAAACUACCUGGCUUGAGGUUUGGAGGGGGGACUGGAAUACUUGGUGUAGCAGUGAAAUGCGUAGAUAUCAAGUGGAACACCAGUGGCGAAGGCGAGUCCCUGGACAACACCUGACACUGAGGCACGAAAGCCAGGGGAGCAAACGGG
rnacentral:rRNA from 1 species